AUGGAGUGUAUGAAAACACAAAGACGAAAGGAAUUGUGCAAAGUUGACGCACUCAUAAUUGUACCAGGAAUUGGUAAACUUGAUGACACAACGUCCUACAAAAAUCAAGCCGCCUUAUCCGGAAUCUAAUUUGAGUCCAAAUUUAUUCCAUACUUACUUGAUUCGAAUUAUGAUCCAAAAUCGUACUAGAAGCAGAGUAUUUUUGGGUUGAUUCAAUGAUCCAAACCUGAUCCGACUGUUAUUUUUAUUUAAUUAUUUUAUUAAUUAACAGUUGUCCUCCAUGCGAUUUGAAUUCAGAACUCAAUCCAGCAAAACAAAGAGUAUGAGCUACUAAAACACCAACAUAUAUAUAGUCAAAUAAACAGAACAUACAAGAGAAAGAAAAGCCACGCACAGCAGUAUAUUUAUUGAUAUAAAGGCAACUGCAAAAUCCUCCCACUCUCCCUCCUUCGCUGGCUAUCUACUUGCGGUGGAGGUCUUUGAAAUAAGCUUUAGGGUCACGCGCAAAAUCAUCCCUUAAGAUUUGCUCACCUCCUCGGCCCGGAGCUUUCAUCGUCUUCCCCUUCUGCUUUGGUUCUGAUUCUGAACCUGAACCUGAAACAAGACGGGAUAAACCAUAGGCUAGCAGAGCCGCUCCUGCCACAGCGCCAGCUGCAAUUGCACCAGUGGACAAGUCAGCCUUGUCGUUACGCAAGUCACCACCAUUUUCCUCAUUGUUUCCAGACCCUUCCCUGCUUUCAUUCGCUCCCAUUUUUUCUACUAUGCAAUCCAAUCCAAACUCUACUUGAUUUUGCAACUUGGUUUUGGACGGGACGGGGUGUGGUUAUAUAUAUUACCAAAGGUGUUUAGAUUCUCAAAGACUAAAACGACUCAAGGACUCGGUGGUCGAAUCAGCAUCCAAAGCUCAUGCUUUUCGUACAGUUCCCACUCAUAUUACCCACUCCAUCACCUGUUUCCUUUCACUUUCUUCUUUAUACUAGAUAAGUUUACCCUUCAUUUCAAUAGUGUUUUGUUUGGUUUUCUUCUUUUGCUUUUGUUGUUUCCUCUCACUUUUCCUUCCUUCUUGACAAAGUUACCUUUCCUCUCUUUGCAUUGAAUCUUCAACUUCAUAGUUUUGUUUGUUCAUAGGGUUUUUAUUUUAUUUUAUCAAAACGGUCCUUGAACUUAUACCUAAGUUCCAUUUUGGUCCUUUAAUUCUCUAUUUCGUAUCAAAUUGGUCCACCGUCAAACUCUGCCAAUAUUACUGUCAAUUGAAGGGCUAAAAUGUCGUCAAUUUGUAUAUAUAUUUCACAAUUUUAGCCCUCAAAUUAACGGAAAUAUUGACGGAGUUACCAAUUUGACAUGCAAGGAAGAGUUGGAGGACCAUUGGUGUGAAAAAAUUGGUUGAAGUACCAAAAUAAAAUUUGGGCAUAAAUUCAAGGACCAUUUCAAUUAUAAACCCUUGUUUAUGUUAGUAAAUAUCUGGUGAUACUUCCACUUAAAAUUUUAUGUGACUGAGUUUACGAUUUUGACUUGAUUAGACCACAUGAUUAAAACUGCCAAAAUUGAAAUAACAUGAACCAAUCUGGAAGAUGAGUCAAAUUACGUGAACCAAAAAUGUAAUUGAGCCAAAAAAACAAAAACAGAAAAACUCUCCAGAUUGAUAAUUUCACACCCAACCUAUUCAAAUUGUUCAAAAAAUAAAUCAUAUGCAUUAAGUAAUAGUGUGACAAAUUAUUUAUAGGAUUGCACUAUACGAAUUUUUAUUUAUUUUCCUUAUAUUCUUACUCCCUCCCAAGGAAGCGAAGAGUUGAAGGUUGAAGAUUUAUUUCAAACGGCACUCCACUUACUAAAAAGCUUGGGGAGGAGUUUCUCAAUUCUGCCUUCCCUUCUUCCACCUAGGCAUGCUAUGAAAUAAUAUUUGUGGUAAUGUUUGGUGUGUUUGGCUAUAGAUAUAUGGAAACAUUGGAACUGCCUUAUACCAACUUUGGCCUUGGUUGACGAAAGGUGUUUAGAUUCUCAAAGACUAAAACGAC
rnacentral:lncRNA from 1 species